rnacentral:rRNA from 1 species
GCUAAAAAAAUGAGUCUGCGUACUAUUAGCUAGUUGGUGAGGUAAAUGCUUACCAAGGCGAUGAUGGUUAUCCGGCCUGAGAGGGUGAUCGGACACAUUGGGACUGAGAUACGGCCCUAACUCCUACGGGAGGCAGCAGUGGGGAAUUUUGCGCAAUGGGCGAAAGCCUGACGCAGCAACGCCGCGUGGAGGAUGAAGAUCUUUGGAUUGUAAACUUCUGUUGAUCGGGAAGAAAAGUCAAUGGUUAAUACCCAUUGUAAUGACGUUACCGAUAAAGAAAGCACCGGCUAAUCUCGUGCCAGCAGCCGCGGUAAUACGAGAGGUGCAAGCGUUAUUCGGAAUUAUUGGGCGUAAAGGGCGCGUAGGCGGUGCCAUAAGUUUUUCGUUUAAUUCUUCGGCCUAACUGGAGAAAUGCGAAGAAGACUGUGGUGCUAGAGUAUAAUAGAGAG